AUGGUUGUUUCCAUCCUGGUGAACUCAUCAGCCCAGAUGGAGGUGCCGGAAGAGCCCCGCACUCCUUGGGCGUUAAGGUUUCGCGUGCCGUGGGGUCGUUUCAGCAGAACACUUGGCAUCCUCUCGAGAUCUGUGAGCAGCCACCAUGUCGAUCUUCACCCCACCAACCACAUCCGGCUGACCAACGUGGCUGUGGUGCGGAUGAAGUGGGGAGGGAAGCGCUUCGAAAUCGCCUGCUAUAGAAACAAGAUCAUCGGCUGGCGGAGUGGCAUGGAAAAAGACCUUGAUGAAAUUCUGCAGACCCAUUCAGUGUUUGUAAAUGUUUCCAAAGGUCAGGUUGCCAAGAAGGAAGACCUCAUCAGUGCAUUUGGGACAGAUGACCAGACUGAAAUCUGCAAGCAGAUUUUGACUAAAGGAGAAGUUCAAGUGUCAGAUAAAGAACGGCACACACAGCUGGAGCAGAUGUUUAGGGAUAUUGCCACCAUUGUGGCAGACACGUGUGUGAAUCCAGAAACAAAAAGACCUUACACCGUUAUCCUCAUCGAGAGAGCCAUGAAGGACAUCCACUACUCUGUGAAACCCAACAAGAGCACAAAGCAGCAGGCUUUGGAAGUGAUAAAGCAGCUGAAAGAGAAGAUGAAGAUAGAGCGAGCCCACAUGCGAUUGCGCUUUAUCCUGCCAAUGAACGAAGGGAAGAAGCUGAAGGAAAAGCUGAAGCCGCUGAUGGAGGUGGUGGAGAGUGAGGACUACAGCCAUCAGCUGGAGAUCGUGUGCCUCAUCGACCCCGGCUGCUUUAGAGAAAUUGAUGAGCUAAUAAAAAAGGAAACGAAAGGCAAGGGUUCUCUGGAAGUGCUCAGUCUGAAGGACGUGGAGGAAGGAGAUGAGAAGUUUGAAUGACACCGCCCGGCGCCUCAGCCGGAGCAGGACCGCAGACUCUUGUUCCUGACAGCAGCAGCAGCUCAUUCUGUGACCUGCCAAAAACCCUGCCCAAGCAACAUGCCACUUUCUAUCUUGUGUUAAACAUUUACCCAGGUACCUGGGUAUUUUUGUUGUCAAUUGGAGUUUCCAGCGAAAAUGAAAAAUAACCCAAAAUACAGAGUCCAGAACAG